CGAACGGGUGAGUAAUACAUCGGAACGUGUCCGCUCGUGGGGGACGAACCAGCCGAAAGGUUGGCUAAUACCGCAUGAGUUCUACGGAAGAAAGAGGGGGACCCGCAAGGGCCUCUCGCGAGCGGAGCGGCCGAUGACUGAUUAGCCGGUUGGUGAGGUAACGGCUCACCAAAGCAACGAUCAGUAGCUGGUCUGAGAGGACGACCAGCCACACUGGGACUGAGACACGGCCCAGACUCCUACGGGAGGCAGCAG
rnacentral:rRNA from 1 species